GCGAAUAUUGGUCAAUGCGAGGAAGCCUGAACCAGCCAAGUAGCGUGCAGGAUGAAGGCCCUAUGGGUUGUAAACUGAUUUUGAUGCGGGAGUAAAGUGACUCACGUGUCAUUCAUUGCAAGUACCCUUGGAAUAAGGGACCGGCUAAUUCCGUGCCAGCAGCCGCGGUAAUACGGAAGGUCCAGGCGUUAUCGGGAUUUAUUGGGUUUAAAGGGAGCGUAGGCCGAUGGCCAAGCGUGUUGUGAAAUACAGUGACCCAACCACUGGACUGCAGCGCGAACUGGCCGUCUUGAGUGCGCGCAACGUUGGCGGAAUUCGUCGUGUAGCGGUGAAAUGCUUAGAUAUGACGAAGAACUCCGAUUGUGAAGGCAGCUGACGGGAGCGCAACUGACGCUGAAGCUCGAAGGUGCGGGUAUCGAACAGGAUUAGAUACCCUGGUAGUCCGCACGGUAAACGAUGGAUGCCCGUUCUGCGGCCUUCGGGCCGCGGGACCAAGCGAAAGCAUUAAGCAUCCCACCUGGGGAGUACGCCGGCAACGGUGAAACUCAAAGGAAUUGACGGGGGCCCGCACAAGCGGAGGAACAUGUGGUUUAAUUGGAUGAUACGCGAGGAACCUUACCCGGGCUUGAAUUGCAGACUAAUGCGGCGGAGACGCUGCAGUCCUUCGGGAAGUCUGUGAAGGUGCUGCAUGGUUGUCGUCAGCUCGUGCCGUGAGGUGUCGGCUCAAGUGCCAUAACGAGCGCAACCCCUGUCUCAUGUUGCCAUCAGGUAAAGCUGGGCACACUGGAGAGACUGCCGCCGUAAGGUGCGAGAAAGGUGGGGAUGACGUCAAAUCAGCACGGCCCUUACGUCCGGGGCUACACACGUGUUACAAUGGCCGGUACAGAAGGAUGGUGCCCCGUAAGGUGCAUCGAACCUGAAAAACCGGUCCCAGUUCGGACUGGGGUCUGCAACCCGACCCCACGAAGCUGGAUUCGCUAGUAAUCGCGCAUCAGCCAUGACGCGGUGAAUACGUUCCCGGGCCUUGUACACACCGCCCGUCAAGCCAUGAAAGCCGGGAGUGCCUGAAGUCCGUGACCGCGAGGAUCGGCCUAGGGCAAAAUCGGUAAUUGGGGCUAAGUCGUAACAAGGUAGCCG
rnacentral:rRNA from 1 species